rnacentral:rRNA from 1 species
GACUGUGCGAAGGUAGCAUAAUUAGUUGCCCCUUAAUUGGGGGCUUGUUUGAAUGGUUUGACGGAGUAAAGCUAAAUAUUUGAGUUUUAGGUGAAAUUUAUUAGUAGGGCACAGAAUCCUACUAAAUUAAUUAGACGGAAAGACCCCGGGAGCUUGGUAUUUUGCCUGGGGCAGGUAUUGGUGGUUUACCAAUAUUUUGUUCCUGAGUUUAGAAUAAUGGGUUAAGUUACCCCGGGGAUAACAGUGUAAUAGUUAAGUAGAGAUCUUAUCGAGUUAACUGGUUGCUACCUCGAUGUUGACUUAAGUGUAGCUUAGGCGCAGUAGUUUAAGUGUUGGGUCUGUUCGACCUUAUAAACUUCCAUGAGUUGAGUUAAGACCGGCGUGAGCCAGGUCGGUUCUUAUCUAUUAAUGAAACUUAUUAGUACGAAAGGACCGUAAGUUUUUUUAUUGAGUAUGAAGCUUAGUGCCUUAGUUUUGCAAAAACUAAUGAGAAGAUCUUUGUGUUCUUCCAUACUUUAUAUGUUUAACUAUGGCAAUAGGAAGUGUUUACUACAAUAAUUGCAUAAAAAUAUUAUGUUUUUAUUAUGGACAGAUUUGAUUUGUAUUAUUAGCAGUUAGUUUUUUAUUUAGAUGCGAGUCUUUUAAGAUUGUAGAAUACAAAGGGGAGAGGGCACAGUGCCAGCAUCUGCGGUUAUUCUGUUUUCUUUGCUUUCAUAUGGACUAUGUGUAAAUAUUAUUAAGUGAGUUUGGGUGAAAUUUACUUACCUCAAUAUUUAAUAUUUAUAAUGCGGCAAAUAGCUUUUUAUGACAGGGAUUAGAUACCCCAUUAAUUGGUUAUAAUAAUGGGUCUUAGUGUCAACUAAAAUAGUUUGGCAGCGAACGAUUCUAUCGGGGGAAGGUGUA